rnacentral:rRNA from 1 species
UACAGAGGGGGCAAGCGUUGUUCGGAAUUACUGGGCGUAAAGGGCGCGUAGGCGGUCAGUGCAAGUCAGUUGUGAAAUCUCCGGGCUUAACUCGGAAAGGUCAACUGAUACUGCUCGACUAGAGUGCGGAAGGGGCAACUGGAAUUCUUGGUGUAGCGGUGAAAUGCGUAGAUAUCAAGAGGAACACCUGCGGCGAAGGCGGGUUGCUGGGCCGACACUGACGCUGAAGCGCGAAAGCUAGGGGAGCGAACGGG